AUUCUCCAUUUUUUCUAGAAACUGAUGGCAAGAUCCUUUCCAGAAGAUGUUAUUCCGUCAGUAAUAAGAUAUUGGUCUCAGAAAAAAAAAAAAAAAAAAAAAAAAAUCUAUGGGUGGAAAUGUCUGUCUCUUACCACACGCUCACUCCUGACCCCUCAGGAUUGCACAGAGGCUGGAACUGCAUUAGUUGCUGUGAGAACUGGGGAUGAGAGGAUAAGGGUGAAAACUAUAAUGAACAGGAGACGGAUGGCUGUGAAACACACUGAAGGUAAGACGAAUAGACACUGUUAGGGCUCAACUGGCUGACUUCUGGACUUUAGAAACAAUUUGUUGCUUGG